rnacentral:rRNA from 1 species
AUUGAACGCUGGCGGCAUGCCUUACACAUGCAAGUCGAACGGUAACAGGUCUUCGGAUGCUGACGAGUGGCGAACGGGUGAGUAAUACAUCGGAACGUGCCCAGACGUGGGGGAUAACGAGGCGAAAGCUUUGCUAAUACCGCAUACGAUCUAAGGAUGAAAGCAGGGGACCGCAAGGCCUUGCGCGUUUGGAGCGGCCGAUGGCAGAUUAGGUAGUUGGUGGGGUAAAAGCUUACCAAGCCGACGAUCUGUAGCUGGUCUGAGAGGACGACCAGCCACACGGGGACUGAGACACGGCCCAGACUCCUACGGGAGGCAGCAGUGGGGAAUUUUGGACAAUGGGCGAAAGCCUGAUCCAGCAAUGCCGCGUGCAGGAUGAAGGCCUUCGGGUUGUAAACUGCUUUUGUACGGAACGAAAAGGCUCUGGCUAAUACCUGGGGCACAUGACGGUACCGUAAGAAUAAGCACCGGCUAACUACGUGCCAGCAGCCGCCGUAAGAC